UACGGGGGGGGCAAGCGUUGUUCGGAUUUACUGGGCGUAAAGGGCGCGUAGGCGGCCACCGCAAGUCGGUUGUGAAAUCUCUGGGCUUAACCCAGAAAGGUCAACCGAUACUGCGGGGCUAGAGUGCAGAAGGGGCAACUGGAAUUCUCGGUGUAGCGGUGAAAUGCGUAGAUAUCGAGAGGAACACCUGCGGCGAAGGCGGGUUGCUGGGCUGACACUGACGCUGAAGCGCGAAAGCUAGGGGAGCGAACGGG
rnacentral:rRNA from 1 species